rnacentral:lncRNA from 1 species
UUCUCAUAUUCUUUAGCCGCUCGCUAAAACAAUAUCCUAUCUCUAUCCCAUUUGUUUAGAAUUGUCAAUUUAUGAUCGUCCAAUCAGUCUUUUUUGCUUUAAAAUCUUUUGGUUCUCUAUUAAUAACUUCAAAAAAAUAGUUUAUGAUUGGUAGAAAAUGGCCCCUUCGAAAAAUGGUACUGUGACCAAUUUAUCCCUAAAGUUAAAAUUUCUAAAGAAAAAACUGAAGCUUUGGAAUAAGAAUUCUAUUGGAAACUUAUUUAAAAAGAAAAAGGAGCUAAAACAAAAAUUCUAGAGUUGGAUGAAAAGGAAGGUGGCCCCUUAUCCAUGCU